rnacentral:rRNA from 1 species
GGAAAGCCCUGCCACGACUCUCGGGACCUCACCGCCCCAGCAAUGGAAGCGGGUGCCUACGGCCAACGGCCGCGGGUACGGUAAAGCACCGAAGUCUAGGGGCGAUCCGCCGCCAAACCCUCCCCGCACCGGGAGGGCCCAGCUCACAGGCCAGACGGCGAUGGGCGCUCUCGCGCUUAAGAUAUGGUCGAGUGACCCGCCGAGAGGCGGGUGCAACUCAGGAACGUCCGUAGGUGAACCUGCGGAAGGAUCAUU